rnacentral:pre_miRNA from 1 species
UUUAUGCGGCAGCAUAGGACUGAAUUGUGGGAGGACUUAUAUGAUUCUACCCCUUUU